GACCAUAUAAAAGCACGAGGCCGCAGGCCGAGUGCUUUUAUACAGGUCACAUAACUACGAGGUGACUACUAAUAUCUGUAUAAAUUUAAGUAGGGGGUACAUUAUGUAUUAUAAUCUACAGUUUUGUGUCCAGUGUCUUCCUUCCUAUAUAUGUGUAGUAUUUUAAUGGCUUUGCCCUAUGUGCUGUAAAAUUACACUUUUAAUGCUGUUUUCCUUUCCCCACCCCAGCCCCCCACUUAAUUUUAUCCCCGUAGUUACUUUUUUUCGUGUGAAAGUACCUGUUUUUGAAUUCGAUGUUUUUUUCCCAAUAUGCCUUUUAUCCUGCCCUGGGUGACGUCAGUUGCAGGGGAGGGGGGAAGGUGAGGAAGGGGAAGUGUCAGAGGACUGGAGAAUGAUGGGUGGAGGCGGAGCAAUACCAGAGAUUGUGUGAGGGAGACAAAUGGCAUUGUGAGGGGAGCUAAAGGAGCCGACACGGUUACAGGUUACACGGAGGAGCAUGAAAAUGGAUGUUAAGAAGGUGGAGCCAGACGGACGCGCCUUGAACCUUUGGAUUUCUGCCAAUUUUCGCAGGCGUUUCGCGAAUUUAUUCGCUGGCGGCAAAUCGCGCAAAUUCGCCACGAAUUCGCGCCUGGCGAAUAAAUUCGUCCAUCACUACUGAAUAUGAAGACUGCUCAUACUUAUAAUUCGGUCUACAAUGAAUCCCGUAGUUGCCUCGAGAGAUCCCACUCCUCCUCAGUCUACUUAUCCUGCUGUAAUUCAGUAAUACUUUUUUUUAGUCCUCUGUUUCCUUAAUGCUUGUCCAAUAAAACCAUUUUUGAAUAUA